rnacentral:rRNA from 1 species
GACGAACGCUGGCGGCGUGCUUAACACAUGCCAGUCGAACGGAAAGGCCCUGCUUUUGUGGGGUGCUCGAGUGGCGAACGGGUGAGUAACACGUGAGUAACCUGCCCUUGACUUUGGGAUAACUUCAGGAAACUGGGGCUAAUACCGGAUAGGAGCUCCUGCUGCAUGGUGGGGGUUGGAAAGUUUCGGCGGUUGGGGAUGGACUCGCGGCUUAUCAGCUUGUUGGUGGGGUAGUGGCUUACCAAGGCUUUGACGGGUAGCCGGCCUGAGAGGGUGACCGGGAAAAUGGGGGAGGGGGAAAGGGCCCAGAACACAAGGGGGGGAAGGGGGGGGGAAAAUGGAAAAAGGGGCGGAAGCCGGAGGAGGAAACGCCGGGGGGGGGAGGAGGGCCUUGGGGUUGUAAACCGCUUUCGCCGGUGAGGAAGGGGGGGUGAGGGAAAUGGGAAAAAAAGCACCGGCUAACCAGGG